GAUGAACGCUAGCGGCAGGCCUAACACAUGCAAGUCGAGGGAGAAGCCCUUCGGGGCAGAAACCGGCGCACGGGUGCGUAACGCGUAUGCAACCUACCUUUCACAGGGGGAUAGCCCGAAGAAAUUUGGAUUAAUACCCCAUAAUAUUAUUGGAUGGCAUCAUUUGAUAAUUAAAAUUACGAUGGUGAAAGAUGGGCAUGCGUCCUAUUAGCUAGUUGGAGUGGUAACGGCACCCCAAGGCUACGAUAGGUAGGGGUCCUGAGAGGGAGAUCCCCCACACUGGUACUGAGACAGGGACCAGACUCCUACGGGAGGCAGCAGUGAGGAAUAUUGGUCAAUGGUCGGAAGACUGAACCAGCCAUGCCGCGUGCAGGAAGAAUGCCUUAUGGGUUGUAAACUGCUUUUAUAUGGGAAGAAUAAGGAGUACGCGUACUUUGAUGACGUACCAUAUGAAUAA
rnacentral:rRNA from 1 species